GGUGCGAGCGUUAAUCGGAAUACUGGGCGUAAAGCGUGCGCAGGCGGUUAUAUAAGACAGUUGCGAAAUCCCCGGGCUUAACCUGGGAAUGGCGCUUGUGACUGCACGACUGGAGUGCGGCAGAGGGGGAUGGAAUUCCGCGUGUAGCAGUGAAAUGCGUAGAUAUGCGGAGGAACACCGAUGGCGAAGGCAGUCCCCUGGGCCUGCACUGACGCUCAUGCACGAAAGCGUGGGGAGCAAACAGGAUUAGAUACCCUGGUAGUCAAGGGCG
rnacentral:rRNA from 1 species